CGCAGCGCAGUAGCUCUCCAAGCCCGCGAGCCGCGACCGCGGGUGCAUCCAGUGUCUGCGCCCAGUUUUAUUGAUCUGAUCCAACUUGUGACUGCUGGCUGGAAUUAAGAUUCUUCAGCUUGUCUGUAAUCAAGGAAGCAUUGAUUGGGAACUACUCACUCAG